rnacentral:rRNA from 1 species
GAUAAACGCUGGCGGCGUGCCUAAAACAUGCAAGUCGAACGGAUGGUGAUCUUCGGAUCACCAUGAGUGGCGGACGGCUGAGUAACACGUGGGUGACCUACCCUCGAACGGGGGAUAACUGCCCGAAAGGGUGGCUAAUACCGCAGACAUCCAGCAUUCGGUUGCUGGAUUGAACCGUUUAGGGUUCGGGGAGGGCCCGCGGUCGAUUAGCUUGCUGGUGGGUAAUGGCCUACCAGGCAUCGAUCGAUAGCUGGUCUGAGAGGAUGAUCAGCCAGACUGGGACUGCGAACGGCCCAGACUCC